ACUCAAUCACUAAACAACUUUCACAGAAUUCUUCCUUGCCCUAAGGUUAUGCUCAUUUUCUGAGUGUCUAGGUAAUUUGAUCGCUCUCCAAAAUAACACAGGGGAAUGGUAGAAGAUUCUACCUGUGUCUUAUAGUUUGGUUAUGAGCCGUUCCUCAAAAUCUCCAGUGUUAAUUCAGGAAUGUUGGGAGGUGAAUUUAUUGGAUUGUGACAGCUGGACCUAACCAGUCCACCCUGAUAGUUUGAGUGGACUAUCAGGGUGGUAACUAGGCAGGCAGGACAUGGCUGGAGAAGGUGGGUCACUGGGGGGUGUGCCCUGGAAGGGUGCCUUCUUGCAGUCCCUUUCCCUCUCUGCAUCCAGUGCUCCUCGACCACACCCUUUUGCCAUAAUAUUCUGCCUCACCUUGAGCCCAGAGCAAUGGGGUCAACCCACCAAGGACUAAACUUCUGAAAGUGAGACAAAAGGAACUUUCCUUCCUCUUAAUUGUUCUUGUGGAGCAUUUUGGUCACAGCAAUGAAAAGCUAACACACCAUGAUUGAAACUUUUUCAAACAUUUUGACAUUUAUUUGCUUUAUUCUCACUAUGAAAAGGAAUAUUCCCUACUUAAAAACAGAUCUCAACACUGAGGGGGUAGAUUUAUGGCCAUAUCAAGGACACACAGCUUGCUUUAGGACUCUGGGAGACUGAAUGUGAAGGGUUAUGAGGACAUUGGAGAAAGGCGUGACAAGAAAAGUGGUUACCACCUGUGUGCCAACGCCAUGUUCAAAGAGCUAGCAGGGUUUGAACUAUGAACCAGGAAUAUAUACUGUCUUUUUUUUUUUUAAGAGAGUUUUUUAAUAUUUAUUUUUCAGUUUUCAGUGGACACAACAUCUUUAUUUUAUUUUUAUGUGGUGCUGAGGAUCGAACCCAGUGCCGCACACAUUCCAGGCGAGCGCUUUACUGCUUGAGCCACAUCCCCAGCCCCAUCUUUUUUCUUUCUUUAAGGUCAGAUCUUGCUAUGUUGCUCAGGUUAGCCUCAGACUUCUGAGCUCAAGUAAUCUUUCUGCCUCAGCCUCCUGAGUACUGGGACUACAGGUGUGUGUCACCACAUCUUGAGUGAAGCGUCAUUAAGGCUUCUCCUAUGGUGCCAUCUGAGGAUGACAAGGGAUGACAUUUAUCCAAUAAUCAGGUGUGAGAGAUGGAAGAAACUUGGGCAGUGGUGCUGACAUGGACUUUGUGACAGAAGGAACACCAGCAGAAGGCAAAGAGAGCUAUGGGGAACAGGUAGUUACUGACUUAUGAUAGGAAUAUCUGAAUUUGAUCUUUAAAGGAGAUAAUGCCUUUUUUUUAAUUAAAAAUUCCAUCUCUCUCUAUUUAUCUUGUCAAGUAAAACUUAUAUAAAUUUAUGGUGUACAACAUGAUGUUUUGAUAUAUUGUGGAAUGGCUGAAUCAAGCUAUUUAAUAUAUUUCUUGCCUCAUGUACUUCUAAUUUUUUUGUGUGUGGAGAGAACAUGUAAAAUUUUCUUUCUUAGUGAUUUUCAAUACACAAUACAUUGGUAUUAAUGGUAGUCAUUAUGUUGUAUCCCUGAUAUACUCUUCCUGUCUAACUGAAAUUUUACGAGUUUGACUAAGGCCGCUCACCUCCCCCACUUUGAUCUCUGGCAACUCUCUGCUUACAUCAGUUUAGCUUUUUUGCACUCCACAUGUGAGAUCAUUUGAUAGUUGUCUUUCCAUUCCUGGCAUAUUUCACUUAACAUAGUAUC